AAUAGAUACCCGGGUAGUCCACGCCGUAAACGAUGGAUACUAGCUGUUGGAGGUAUCGACCCCUCCAGUAGCGAAGCUAACGCGUUAAGUAUCCCGCCUGUGGAGUACGGUCGCAGGACUAAAACAUAAAGGAAUUGACGGGGACCCGCACAAGCGGUGGAUUGUGUUCUUUAAUUCGAUGAUAAACGAUGAACCUUACCAGGGCUUGACAUCCCGAGAAUUUUGCCGAAAGGCGAGAGUGCUUUAUUGAACUCGGUGACAGAUCUUGCAUGGCCGUCGUCAGCUCGUGUCGUGAGAUGUUUGGUUAAGUCCAUCAACGAGCGCAACCCUUGUGAAUAGUUGUAUUUUUCUAUUCAGACUGCCCCGGCAACGGGGAGGAAGGAGGGGAUGAUGUCAGGUCAGUAUUAGUCUUACGUCCUGGGCUAGAAACGCAAUACAAUGGCGAGUACAAUGCGCAGCGAAGCCGCGAGGUGAAGCAAAUCGCAUCAAAACUCGUCCCAGUUCGGAUAAGAGGCUGAAACUCGCCUCUUUG
rnacentral:rRNA from 1 species